UACGUAGGGUGCGAGCGUUGUCCGGAAUUAUUGGGCGUAAAGAGCUUGUAGGCGGUUUGUCGCGUCUGCUGUGAAAUUUCGGGGCUCAACCCCGAACUUGCAGUGGGUACGGGCAGACUAGAGUAUUGCAGGGGAGACUGGAAUUCCUGGUGUAGCGGUGAAAUGCGCAGAUAUCAGGAGGAACACCGGUGGCGAAGGCGGGUCUCUGGGCAAUAACUGACGCUGAGGAGCGAAAGCGUGGGGAGCGAACAGG
rnacentral:rRNA from 1 species